rnacentral:rRNA from 1 species
UACGGAGGAUGCGAGCGUUAUCCGGAUUUAUUGGGUUUAAAGGGUGCGUAGGCGGGUUGUCAAGUCAGCGGUAAAAUCGUGGAGCUCAACUCCAUCCAGCCGUUGAAACUGAUGAUCUUGAGUGGGCGAGAAGUAUGCGGAAUGCGUGGUGUAGCGGUGAAAUGCAUAGAUAUCACGCAGAACUCCGAUUGCGAAGGCAGCAUACCGGCGCCCGACUGACGCUGAAGCACGAAAGCGUGGGUAUCGAACAGG